CUUUUUCCCUUCCUGCUGUUUCUGAAGUGUUCUGACUGUGGAUACAGACUUUUACUGGAGAUAUAAUUUAUUCUACAAAUAAGGACUGGAAGCAGAGAAGCUAUGAAAGGGCUUGGGAGUGAGACUCCCAUUAAACUAAGCAACCCCAGAUUGCUACAGAAGAGAGCUUUGAGCUUCCAGAAAGAAUUCACCUACGACGAAAAAGACGACCCAGCUAAAAGCAAAGAUAUAGAUGUUAGUCUCUUGGCCAAUCUCCCAAAGGUGAGUAAGGGUUUUCUUUUGCUUUAUUUUCUGCCUGCUUGCAAAUUGGUCCUCACCAUGUCAACCUUUUCAGGGAUUUUGAAAGUCACUGUUGUGCAACAGC
rnacentral:lncRNA from 1 species